GGAAGAACUGUAGCUCAAUGAAAGAGCAUCUGCUUUGCAUGCAGAAGGUCCUAGGUUCAAUCCCCACAUCUCCA
rnacentral:tRNA from 1 species